UUUGGAGUUAUUAAGGAAUUUUUUUAUGAACUGAAAAAAUCUCGAUACUGUCAAAGGCUUUACAAAAAUCUAAAUAUCUUGGAAACUCAUGUACCGAUUUUCUUGAUUCUCGUUUCAUAUGAAAGCCGAUGAGUUUCUUUACCAAAAAGGUCUUUACAAGUUUCCUUGUGAAUACAACUAUUUUGGAGUAAUUAAGCAGUUUUUCCAUGGACUGAAAAAAUCUUGAUACUGUCAAAGGCUUUACAAAAAUCUAAAUAUCUUGGAAACUUAUGUACCGAUUUUCUUGAUUCUCGUUUCAUAUGAAAGCCGAUGAGUUUCUUUACCAAAAAGGUCUUUACAAGUUUCCUUGUGAAUACAACUAUUUUGGAGUAAUUAAGCAGUUUUUCCAUGGACUGAAAAAAUCUUGAUACUGUCAAAGGCUUUACAAAAAUCUAAAUAUCUUGGAAACUUAUGUACCGAUUUUCUUGAUUCUCG